AUAGGAGGUCCAGCCUGCCCAGUGACUACGGGUUCAACGGCCGCGGUAUUUUGACCGUGCAAAGGUAGCGCAAUCACUUGUCUCUUAAAUAGAGACCUGUAUGAAUGGCUAGACGAGGGCUUAACUGUCUCCCCCCUCCGGUCAGUGAAAUUGAUCUAUCCGUGCAGAAGCGGGUGUAAUUAUACAAGACGAGAAGACCCUUUGGAGCUUAAGGUACAAAGUUCAACCACGUUAAACGACUCCGCACAAAGCAAGAACUUAGUGGAAAAUGAAAUUUUACCUUCGGUUGGGGCGACCACGGAGGAGAAAAGAGCCUCCGAGUGGAUUGGGCUAAAUCCCCAAAGCCAAGAGAUACAUCUAUAAGCCGCAGAACAUCUGACCAAAAAUGAUCCGGCUGAAAAGCCGAUCAACGAACCAAGUUACCCUAGGGAUAACAGCGCAAUCCUCUCCCAGAGUCCAUAUCGACGAGGGGGUUUACGACCUCGAUGUUGGAUCAGGACAUCCUAAUGGUGCAGCCGCUAUUAAGGGUUCGUUUGUUCAACGAUUAAAGUCC
rnacentral:rRNA from 1 species